CCUACGGGGGGCAGCAGUGGGGGAUAUUGCACAAUGGGGGGAACCCUGAUGCAGCGACGCCGCGUGGGUGAAGGAGCGUUUCGGCGCGUAAAGCCCUAUCGGCAGGGAAGAAGGAGGACGGUACCUGACUAAGAAGCCCCGGCUAACUACGUGCCAGCAGCCGCGGUAAUACGUAGGGGGCAAGCGUUAUCCGGAUUUACUGGGUGUAAAGGGGGCGCAGACGGCGAUGCAAGCCAGGAGUGAAAGCCCGGGGCCCAACCCCGGGACUGCUCUUGGAACUGCGUGGCUAGAGUGCAGGAGGGGCG
rnacentral:rRNA from 1 species